rnacentral:rRNA from 1 species
UCGCGAUUGGGACAAGUCCCUUGGAAAAGGGCAGCAUAGAGGGUGAUACUCCCGUCUCUGCUCCAAUCUGCGGUGUGUACGAUACGCUUUCUUUGAGUCGAGUUGUUUGGGAAUACAGCUCAAAGUAGGUGGUAAAUUCCAUCUAAAGCUAAAUAUUGGUGCGAGACCGAUAGCGAACAAGUACCGUGAGGGAAAGAUGAAAAGAACUUUGAAAAGAGAGUUAAAGAGUACCUGAAACUGUUGAAAGGGAACCGUAUCGUUUCCAGUGUUGUAUCCUAUGCAUAUUUCAUUCGCGGAGUAAUUUGCGGGUGCCCUGUGCAUGGGUGUGACGUCAGGGUCAGUUUGUAUGCUGCGGGAGAUGGUCAGUGAGGAGGUGCGUCACUUCGGUGAAAGUUAUAUCUCGCUGUCUAGUAGCCGUGGUUGAGACUGAGGUGCCUACAACAUGCCUUAAGGUUCCGUGUUGUCUCGUGUUGGUGACUGCUUUGAUAGCUUGCUAUGUCUGUGGUUUAUCAGUGCGAUUGAUGAUGCGGAUAACUUUUGCUGUUCGGGACUCUGGCGAAAUGGAGCGAUACGACCCGUCUUGAAACACGGACCAAGGAGUCUAACAUGUGUGCAAGUAUUAGGGCGUGGAAACCCAAAUGCGUAAUGAAAGUAAAUGCUGCUUAUGCAGCUGUGGUAGGAAAGGGCUGUCAAGGUCCUGGCACUAUCGACCGAUCAUGAGCCUACGGGCAAAAGAUUUGAGUAUGAGCAUAUAUGUUGGUACCCGAAAGAUGGUGAACUAUGCCUGAAUAGGGUGAAGCCAGGGGAAACUCUGGUGGAAGCUCGUAGCGAUUCUGACGUGCAAAUCGAUCGUCAAAUUUGGGUAUAGGGGCGAAAGACUAAUCGAACCAUCUAGUAGCUGGUUCCCUCCGAAAUUUCCCUCAGGAUAGCAGCAACUUUUUCGAUAG